rnacentral:rRNA from 1 species
AUACGGAGGAUGCGAGCGUUAUCCGGAUUUAUUGGGUUUAAAGGGUGCGUAGGCGGCCUUGUAAGUCAGCGGUGAAAUUUUGCAGCUUAACUGUAAAAGUGCCGUUGAUACUGUGAGGCUAGGAUUUGGUUGCUGUGGGUGGAAUGUGUGGUGUAGCGGUGAAAUGCUUAGAGAUCACACAGAAUAUCGAUUGCGAAGGCAGCUCACAAAGCCAAGAUUGACGCUGAGGCACGAAAGUGUGGGGAUCAAACAGGAUUAGAUACCCUGGUAGUCCACACUGUAAACGAUGAAUACUAGGUGUGGGGGGACUGACCCCCUCCGUGCCGCAGUUAACACAAUAAGUAUUCCACCUGGGGAGUACGAUCGCAAGAUUGAAACUCAAAUGAAUUGGCGGGG